rnacentral:rRNA from 1 species
AGGAAUAUUGGUCAAUGGGCGAGAGCCUGAACCAGCCAAGUAGCGUGAAGGAUGAAGGUCCUACGGAUUGUAAACUUCUUUUAUACGGGAAUAAAGUUUCCUACGUGUAGGAUUUUGUAUGUACCGUAUGAAUAAGCAUCGGCUAACUCCGUGCCAGCAGCCGCGGUAAUACGGAGGAUGCGAGCGUUAUCCGGAUUUAUUGGGUUUAAAGGGAGCGCAGACGGGAGAUUAAGUCAGUUGUGAAAGUUUGCGGCUCAACCGUAAAAUUGCAGUUGAUACUGGUUUCCUUGAGUGCAGUUGAGGCAGGCGGAAUUCGUGGUGUAGCGGUGAAAUGCUUAGAUAUCACGAAGAACCCCGAUUGCGAAGGCAGCUUGCUAAACUGUAACUGACGUUCAUGCUCGAAAGUGUGGGUAUCAAACAGGAUUAGAUACCCUGGUAGUCCACACGGUAAACGAUGGAUACUCGCUGUUGGCGAUAUACUGUCAGCGGCCAAGCGAAAGCAUUAAGUAUCCCACCUGGGGAGUACGCCGGCAACGGUGAAACUCAAAGGAAUUGACGGGGGCCCGCACAAGCGGAGGAACAUGUGGUUUAAUUCGAUGAUACGCGAGGAACCUUACCCGGGCUUAAAUUGCAGACGAAUUACGAGGAAACUUGUAAGCCGCAAGGCGUCUGUGAAGGUGCUGCAUGGUUGUCGUCAGCUCGUGCCGUGAGGUGUCGGCUUAAGUGCCAUAACGAGCGCAACCCUCGUGGCCAGUUACUAACAGGUUAAGCUGAGGACUCUGGCCAGACUGCCAUCGUAAGAUGUGAGGAAGGUGGGGAUGACGUCAAAUCAGCACGGCCCUUACGUCCGGGGCUACACACGUGUUACAAUGGGAGGUACAGAAGGCCGCUACCCGGCAACGGGAUGCCAAUCCCCAAAACCUCUCUCAGUUCGGACUGGAGUCUGCAACCCGACUCCACGAAGCUGGAUUCGCUAGUAAUCGCGCAUCAGCCACGGCGCGGUGAAUACGUUCCCG